GGUCUGUAGCUCAGUGGCAGAGCGCUUGCCUAAGCAUGUGUGAGUCACUGGGUUCGAUCCUCAGCACCA
rnacentral:tRNA from 1 species